rnacentral:tRNA from 1 species
GCCGCUGUAGUUCUAGUGAUAAAACAGGCGAUUGGUAAUCGUCAGUCAGGAGUUUGAUUCUCCUCGGCGGCACCA